rnacentral:lncRNA from 1 species
CAAUCAUGUAUGUAUAUGUCUAUAUAGUUCUGGCCUCCUAUUGACUUUUUUUGCAUCAGACCAAUUUGGUUUUCUUCUCCAGUAGCCUCGAAAUGGACUGUGGCACUAAUUUUUAUUGUAUUCGCGUGAUUUCUAGAGUAUCGAAAUGGCUCUAAACAAGGUAAACUAUUUGGAUUUGAUUUUCCACAUUCUACUAUCAAAUAACUUCAUUUGAUCGAGUAAUUGUGUAAGUUAUUACAGUGUCAUUUAGUUUUUUUUUUAUUUGGUUUUUUUCCUUAAUUUGUGCUACUCAAAUUUUUAUUUUUUGAUUCACGGCUAGCCUUGAGUUGUUCUCUAUAUAUGUUUGUAUUGGAUGUAUAUCAAAAGGUUGAACCCCAAUCUUAAAGUUCCCACCGCCCCUGUCCUAGAGUAUCGUGAGGGAGGUAAAUCGCAGGUUAUGCCUCCAAGGGCACAGGGUGAAAGGCUGCUUGUACACUUGCACUUACCCGAGAGCCAAAUCUAUAUUUUAGGAUUCGAACCCGUGGUAGCCUCAAGCAAAGCUGGAUUUCUCCACCCUCCCCUUUUUACCACUUGGAGAUGUGCCCUGGGGGCUUGUAUUGGAUGUAUAUCGUUAUUACGUUGUGUUGUUGAAAUGGAUGCAGAAAUAAAUGUAAAAUCAGGAAUUUGGGUUGGGUUGUAGGUGAUUAAGUUCUAAAAAUGGUAAUCAAAUCAAACUUAUUACAUCAUUUAGUUUUUAGAAAAAUUAGGUGGAGUUUUUCUAUGGUGUAGUCCCCUACCCCAUCUUCCCGAUAGUAUUUUUUAACUUAAUAGGAGGGUUUACUUCUGAUGCUUGAUGUUAGCCCGACAAAGCAGGCUGUGCUGCAAGAAGUCCAAAAGGUUUGUUUUAUGUUAGUGCAAAAGAAUGUCCAUUAAUUAGUUUAUUAUUUGAAUUUCUUUUUGCCAUCAACGUCUCUGUUCAAUGUACUGUGAAUUUUGGCAUUGUCGUAUUUAAUCUAAACUUCUAAUAUCUCUUUUUGCAUUUACGUAGAUGAUAUUCAACCAGAAUGAUGAAUUAGGACUUGUCGUAUUUGGAACCAAGGUAUUUCCGAGUGUCUGAAUUAGUGUGAUUCAAGAAGAGGAAUUAUAUUAUUUUUUGGUCAAAUCUUUGCUCCCUCUCUACUGUAGUUGUUGAGUUUUAAUUCGCAAGAUAGGAGUCCGUCUAAUUGUUAUUUGUAACUUUAUAUGUGCAAUAUCAUCGGACCAGAAUCAUGGAAAUGUUCAUAUUUGAUUUCAUUGUUUUUUUUUUUUUUUAGUUUAUCAAAAUUAAAUGUUGAACCUUAUAGUUGUAUUUUCAUUUCAUUUGCUUCUGAUAUAGAAAUCGGGAAAACAGUAUUUUCCACACUGUAGAAUAAAGUUUUUCCUUUUACAUUCAUGAAUGUUGCUUCUUUAGGACUUCUAAUGAGCGUGAAAACAAUGUAGCCUAUUGACUUUUUCCUUUUAAAAUUUCAAUUAAAUGUUCUCAAUUGAUCGAGAUUGAUUGCGCUUCCCAAUAACAAAUACCUAUAGUCUGGUACUAUUUUGGCUAAUAUUUUAUUCUUUGUACCGUUAACUAGAUUUUGAAAUCAUUUCAUUUUUGUUCAGUUAGAUGCCUUUAAAUUAUUAAUCUUUAUUCUCACCACAUUGACAAUUUAAGUGACCUUUGUAAAUUUGGUGUAUAUUUCUGGAAUCAUUUCAAGUUUGAGAUGCUCAAUCUUCACUAACUUAUUAUUAACUAAAUGAUUUAUUAUAGGAUCAAAAGUUGGUUUAGUUUCUUUUAAGUUUUCCAUCAAGAUUUCCUUAAUGCUUAUUUCAUUUGUAUGAUAAUUUUUUUAAAAACUUCUUGUAUACCACUUUCAACUCCUCUAGGAAACAGGAACAAGAUCCAUCUAUUUAUGUAUAUUUUCAAACAUUUGAGGCAUAUAUUAAUUGCCUUUUUUCCCUAAUUCUUCCCCAAAACAAACUUGUGGAGAGACAUUUGUCUGACAUUAAUUGUUCUGCCCCACAGGGGUCUUCAAGUUCAGAAUGUCAAUGUCAUAAUUCCAUAUAUUAGCACAUUUAAUGUGGAAGCUUCCACUGACAAAAUAUUUUCCAUUGAAAUGUUUGAGGUACUUAAUCCUUGUAAAGUCCUAAACUGGGCUCUGAGGUUUGGGAUUGUUGGCAUGGCUAAUCAACUUGUUUUAUUCUUUAAAAAAUAGCAUAUGAAAAACUAUCGAGACCUUCUUAAGAGGAUAUCCGGGUGGAUGAAACCAGAUGUUCUUCUGUUUGUCCAUUAUUUCUGCCAUAAAACAUUUGCUUACCACUUUGAGAUAAUCUUUUCCGUCAUUUGAAAUUCCAAGUUGAAGGACAUUAGAUAUUGUUAAUUCUUAUAAGAAUUUGCUGCUGAAUUGUUCUCAUCAAAGUUUAAACAAAAGGAUACUAAAUAACCAUCUCUAUAAAACUUUUUCAGGAUGUCAACGAAGAUGAUUGGAUUACUUGGUACUUCUUCGAUGGAAGCACGAUGCCAUCUGCAAACUUACUCCUUUAUUUUCAGGUGAGCUUACCACAGACCUGUUCUUGAGAAUGAUGUUAUAUUAUAAUUUCUUUUCUAAUUUCUCCCUUCCAUUUUCUUUUUUAAGUUUCUCUCUCCAAUGACUGGUCUUCUUUUGUCACGCUAAAAGCCGUUUCAAAUGCAUUCUACGAUCUAGAAUUAUACGAGAUAGCAAGUGUUCUUAUUCCUCCUGAAUGUCAACUUUCUCGUUGAUCGGCAUUUUACUGGGUGUUGUACAUGUUAUUGUAGAAUCAUUGUUAAAAAUGUACAUUGAAAAUGAAACGUGCAAGUAUCUUGCCUACAACGCUAUGGAGUACAUAACAAGAAUUAUUUUUAGGACCAUAUAAACAAAGGUUAGUUUUAGUAGCAUUAGUUUUUCCAUGGUAUUCCUUCAUUGGUUUCUCACUCAUUAUUGAAUGGUAUCUAUUGAUUGAUUCUAUAUUGAGUUUGCAGAAUUUCUUUCUAAAAUCCCAAUCGAGUGAGUGUAAAAUUAGCUUGCUAGAUGAUGCAAUAUUGUUAUUAACUUUAUGCUUGGAUUCCCUAUGAAUGUCACGUGCUAUUAUGGUCAAUGUUUUGAAGUUAUCACGUUUAAAUCAUUGCCUUCUAGAAAGAAAAUCUUUAAUCGUAAUAUGAGGUAUAUCCGCAUACUCAUCACUUCUAUAAAAUUCUGCGAACUUUUACUGUUGUCAUUGGACUGUGUUUUGUGAUUUACUAUUCUCUCAUCUUAUAUAUUCCUUUAUUAAAAUGUUGUUGAGUAUCAUUUGAUAGUUGAUUAUUCCCAAUCAUAGAAGUUGAUCAUAAGUUUCAAAUUAUGUGUUUAGAGAAAGAAGAAAUGUGCGUGCAUUCUUUUAUAACUGGGAAACUGGAAUCGAGCCAAAAGAAGGAGAAGGAUGCUGUAGAAAAUGGAAAAGAUGAAGUACAAAGAAAGAGCAACUAUUUAUACAUUUUAUUAUUGCCUUGGAAUCAAUUGGUAUUCUUAAAUAAUGAGUUAGCAGUUUAACCUUAACCUUGUGGGGUUAAAUCAUUCUUGCAUUAACACAUAUUUCAGUAUUUUAUGUUUUUAGGUUGAAA